AGGGUAGGCACAUGCCACUCGCUUAAGUAUUUUGUAGGGCUUGCCCCUCCUUUGAGAAAGGGCGUUGAGAGAGCGAGCAUUUUAAAAAGAGAUAUCUCAUCCAAAAAUUGGGGCGAGUGGUCGGCUCAGGAAACCGGAACAAUUGGGGCGGAUUUACGGCGGCUCCCAGGUGUUGGAACUCCUUCCCUCAAAGCGGCGACGUACGAAUUCGCUAAUGAGAAUCUGAUCGGACCCGGAGAUUGUCGAAUUGUUUGUCGCGGCGUCUUAUCGGAGAACGCUCCGGUGGCAGUGAAGUUGCUGAGCAAUAGAUAUGAUGCUAUCAAGAGUGGGACCCACCUAUCAAGAGUGAGGCAAAACUUCGAUCACAUAGUGGAUUCCAAGUUGCGCAGAGUACCUUCCUUAAGGAACUCAAGCGAAUUCUCUUAAUUGCUUUUCGGUGCGUCAAUCCAGAUCCAGAAAGUAGGCCUAAAAUGGGAGAUGUAAUCCACAUGCUAGAACCACGAGACCUGCUACUUUAUGGUGAACAUCAAAUUAGGAGAGCAGCUUCUUGCAGAAACUACCCAACGAGAGAUUUCAACUGUUGCUGAAUUGGGUAAUGAUGGUUUGACAUAGAAACUAAGCAGCAGCUGUCAUUGCUGAAAAGAAAAAUUUCGACAAAACUGCAAUGUUGGGGUAGGCCUUGGAUAGUUCCAAGUUAAUUAGAGCAAGUUUUCGAGUUUAUUUUCACUUCAAUUUUUAUUUUAUUUUAUUUUUUUGGUUCUUUAGAUUAAGCUGUGAAGUGCUAUUUUCUCAUUUAUAAUUAUCUUCAUUCAAUAAACAAAUGUAUGGUAACCACCUUCUUCUUCUUCUUCUCAGCAGAAGCAAAUAACUUACUAAUUAUGUUUCAUUUUUGUGCAA